GAUGAACGCUGGCGGCGUGCCUAAUACAUGCAAGUCGAGCGAACAGACGAGGAGCUUGCUCCUUUGACGUUAGCGGCGGACGGGUGAGUAACACGUGGAUAACCUACCUAUAAGACUGGGAUAACUUCGGGAAACCGGAGCUAAUACCGGAUAAUAUAUUGAACCGCAUGGUUCAAUAGUGAAAGACGGUUUUGCUGUCACUUAUAGAUGGAUCCGCGCCGCAUUAGCUAGUUGGUAAGGUAACGGCUUACCAAGGCAACGAUGCGUAGCCGACCUGAGAGGGUGAUCGGCCACACUGGAACUGAGACACGGUCCAGACUCCUACGGGAGGCAGCAGUAGGGAAUCUUCCGCAAUGGGCGAAAGCCUGACGGAGCAACGCCGCGUGAAUGAUGAAGGUCUUCGGAUCGUAAAACUCUGUUAUUAGGGAAGAACAAAUGUGUAAGUAACUAUGCACGUCUUGACGGUACCUAAUCAGAAAGCCACGGCUAACUACGUG
rnacentral:rRNA from 1 species